UGAGGAAUAUUGGUCAAUGGGCGCGAGCCUGAACCAGCCAAGUAGCGUGCAGGAUGACGGCCCUAUGGGUUGUAAACUGCUUUUGUAUGGGGAUAAAGUCAAUCACGUGUGAUUGUUUGCAGGUACCAUACGAAUAAGGACCGGCUAAUUCCGUGCCAGCAGCCGCGGUAAUACGGAAGGUCCGGGCGUUAUCCGGAUUUAUUGGGUUUAAAGGGAGCGUAGGCCGGAGAUUAAGUGUGUUGUGAAAUGUAGACGCCCAACGUCUGACUUGCAGCGCAUACUGGUUUCCUUGAGUACGCACAACGUUGGCGGAAUUCGUCGUGUAGCGGUGAAAUGCUUAGAUAUGACGAAGAACUCCGAUUGCGAAGGCAGCUGACGGGAGCGCAACUGACGCUUAAGCUCGAAGGUGCGGGUAUCGAACAGGAUUAGAUACCCUGGUAGUCCGCACAGUAAACGAUGGAUGCCCGCUGUUGGUACCUGGUAUCAGCGGCUAAGCGAAAGCAUUAAGCAUCCCACCUGGGGAGUACGCCGGCAACGGUG
rnacentral:rRNA from 1 species